UGCCUCAGCACCGAGUGCCAACAUUGCAAAGGAAGCAGAGAUGCUUAUGGGUGAAAAGAAAAUAUUUUGAUGAGUUGCUUCGGAUGUGACCAGCUUGUAAAAUGAAAAUGCAAAGUCAGCAUUGCUGGGAAUCAGUUUAGCAAAGGUUUUGUUCCUAAAUGGAUAAACUACCUCCUCACGAGAACUGCGUCCUGGGUAAUAUGAUGCUUUUGGAUCAUCCUGCUUACUGCGGUAGCGAGGGUGCCGACACUGGACAACAGCACAUAAACCAGCCAGCAACAAACACAAGGAUAAGGAAGAGCUCACAGGCAGCCCAGCACUUGGCGAAGCAAAUGAUACAGUAGGACAGACUGAGUUUUCCAUAUCAUCGCAUAUCUCGCUUGGGAUUUUGUGUCAUUCAUUAAUGGAUACUACUGAAUAAGAGAAUUUCAAGAAAAAAAAAUCUACAAGCAAUGUGCUCCUCAAUCUAAGAUUUAUUCUCCUUAUCUGAUAAAAUCUACUGCGAUAACUGUGACUGAGUCUUAAAAUAGAGGCCUGCAGAAGUAAUCUCAAAAGAGUUUUCCAGGCAUGGAUAGUGAACUAUGGAACUAGCGAAUGAUGAAAUGAUGCAUCUUUGACUUGUUGUUCCUUGCAUACUUUGGACUGAAAAUGGUUUGCUUACCAAAGAAAUGCAGCUUACCUAAGUUUCUGCUGCUUUAUGGUCAGUGCAAAAGCUACGUUUAUGGAUAGAUAGCAUUAAACACUAACUUUUCCCAUGCAGAAA